AUGGAUUUGAACUCUCCAGAAGAAGAGGAUUUUCCUGGCAGGCUUUUGCAUCAGGCAGCACUAUGGGACAAUGCUGAGCUAUUAGAAGAUUUGUUAAAAGGAGAUCAAAAGAGGCAUUUGGACGGCCAGGACUCUUGGGGUCGAACUCCUCUUCAUGCAGCUGCAACCUCUGAAAAUUCCAGGUGCCUCCGAGUGCUUCUUCAGUGCGGUGCUAACCCUAACAUACCUUGCGGGCCUCGUGGAGACAACAGGGUGAGUGUAUUUUCUGGCUUCUGUACUCUUUUUUCCUAUCCAAAAUGCACGAAAAAAAUCGCAAAUUUUAUGUUGAUCUCCCAUGAAUGCAUUGACAUAUAAUACAAUCUAGACCGCGCAUUAGGAAAUUUCGGCGAG
rnacentral:lncRNA from 1 species